GUGAUACUCAAAUGUGGGGCACUCUUCUGGACCUCAUGUGGAAAGUGCUCUGACAUUUGGGUGUCACC
ensembl:miRNA